rnacentral:rRNA from 1 species
UACGGAAGGCAGCAGUGGGGAAUAUUGCACAAUGGGCGCAAGCCUGAUGCAGCCAUGCCGCGUGUAUGAAGAAGGCCUUCGGGUUGUAAAGUACUUUCAGCGGGGAGGAAGGCGAUGCGGUUAAUAACCGCGUCGAUUGACGUUACCCGCAGAAGAAGCACCGGCUAACUCCGUGCCAGCAGCCGCGGUAAUACGGAGGGUGCAAGCGUUAAUCGGAAUUACUGGGCGUAAAGCGCACGCAGGCGGUCUGUUAAGUCAGAUGUGAAAUCCCCGGGCUUAACCUGGGAACUGCAUUUUGAAACUGGCAGGCUUGAGUCUUGUAGAGGGGGUAGAAUUCCAGGUGUAGCGGUGAAAUGCGUAGAGAUCUGGAGGAAUACCGGUGGCGAAGGCGGCCCCUGGGACAAGACUGACGCUCAGGUGCGAAAGCGUGGGGAGCAAACAGGGAUUAGGAUACC